UUUGCCGUUUAUGCAGAAAAGCCGUUCACUUCUAGCACGCGAGCCUUUGGUCUUUGUUUAACACAAACAUAGAGGUUCACGCGCUCGCACGUUUCAUCCUCCUCAUUUACUCCUCUGAUUCACCGUUUUCUUUCUGCACUAGCAACAGUGUGAAGCGUGCAGCGAAAGACGUCAUCACACCACCGGAAGACAGUGCUGUUCAUAUGUAAUAGUCGAUGAGUCUUUGUGCUUCUCUGACACCUGUGAGUGGGAAGAGGUGAUGCUAAAGCCUUCUGUUCUUUCACUCCAUCAACAUCUUGAGGGACAAAUGAAUAGGAGCCACGGACGUGGAAAUCAGUACCCCAUCUGGUGAUUAAUGCCUUUGAGACGUCUGGCACCGACCAG